AGAUAUUAAAAUUAAUUUUAGUUAGUUAAAUUUUGGACUUCAUUUAUUAUUAAUUUUGCUAUAAUGUAUUGAUAUCGUGUUUAGAAAGCCUUAUAUAUUUGUGGAGAGAGUUCUCUAUAAGCAUGCAGUGGUUGCCGUUACUCCUAGACUCGCGAUCUCGAGUUAGGAAUGUGACAAUUAAUAUGGUACUAGAGUAUAAGUGAAUAGAUUAUGACGUACAAAAUCAGACAUAGGAUA
rnacentral:lncRNA from 1 species